rnacentral:rRNA from 1 species
CCUGAUCAGCGAUGCCGCGUGGGUGAAGAAGGCCUUCGGGUUGUAAAGCCCUUUAGGUUGGGAAGAAGUGUAUGUGAUGAUAAGUCAUGUACAUUGACGGUACUAACAGAAUAAGCACCGGCAAACUCUGUGCCAGCAGCCGCGGUAAUACAGAGGGUGCGAGCGUUAAUCGGAGUUACUGGGCGUAAAGGGCGCGUAGGCGGUGAUAUGAGUGUGAUGUGAAAGCCCCGGGCUUAACCUGGGAAGUGCAUCGCAAACGAUAUGACUGGAGUAGAUGAGAGGGUGGCGGAAUUUCCGGUGUAGCGGUGAAAUGCGUAGAGAUCGGAAGGAACGUCAAUGGCGAAGGCAGCCACCUGGCAUCAUACUGACGCUGAGGCGCGAAAGCGUGGGGAGCGAACAGGAUUAGAUACCCUGGUAGUCCACGCUGUAAACGAUGAGGACUAGAUGUUGUUAGGGGAACCUAGCAUUAUCGAAGCUAACGCGAUAAGUCUUCCGCCUGGAAGUACGGCCGCACGGUUGAUACUCAAAGGA